UUCGCCGUCAAAAUUCCCUAUUUAUAAUCAUUUUCAAUCUACGAUCGCACUUAUAUAAUUUUGAUCGUAUUGCUUCUUCCCAGAAGAAACGUGCUAGUAUUCUCGGUUUGGAUUCCAAGCUUGAGAAGAGUCUUUUCAUCCCCUUCAAAAAAAUCAAGGUUGAAUGCACAGUCCCAAAAGAUGAUGGAACUCUGGUUUCUUAUGUUGGUUUUAGGAUCUAACACGAUAAUGCUCUUGUGUGCUCUAGUUUUUCGCUCUAGUUUUUCUCUUAUGUAAAUGUUUUGUGUUAGUAUGCUUUUGUUGUGGUCAAUGCUUAAAUUGCAGCUAUUGGAUCUUUGAAGUUGCAAUCCGACAAAAGUUGUCGAUGUUAUGGUUGUAAUGGGGCAAUAACUAUUUGAUCCUGAUAUGGGAACCAAUGCUUAGACCAUGGCAUGGAUUUUGGAUGAGUAUUCAAAGUUUUACUACACUCACAUCCUAUUGUGACAGGACAACUUACUAAAAGUAUCUUAUACAAAUGUAUCAUUUAACAGUACACAAUAAAAUCUUAGAGUUUUAACAUUUUUAUGCUACACUUGGGUGAUUGCAGGCUUUAAGUAAUGGACUUUAUAAGAGUGUUUGACAUAGGGCUAUUGUGAAUGCUGAAAAACCAAGGCUUUCAGUGGCUUCAUUUCUGUGCCCAGGUAAUGAGGCAUUAAUAUGUCCUACAAAUCCGCUAACCAAAAAUGGAUCUGGAGCCAUAUACAGAGGGUUUACAUAUCCAGAAUACUAUAGCAAAUUCUGGAGUAGGAACUUGGAUCAAGAACAUUGUUUGGAACUUUUCAAGGACAAGUAACAUUAAGUAUGUAAUUUGCACAAAACAAUGGGAAUAAAUAUAAGGGAGAUAUUAAUUUAUCCAAUCCUUAUUAUGAAACAAUACAUGAUGAGGUCUAAAGUUUUACUCGUAUUAUAUUAUCUUUUAUGUUGCAGACAAACUUUAGAAAGAAGAAGAAUCUUUAUAGCUUUCAUGUAAUCCUUUUCUAUCACUUUUUGAUUCAUAUUUUCUCAUAUAAAUUUCUCUCCUAAACAAUCGAAAAUGGAAGUGCGCGACUGCGAAGAUAUUCUAUCCACCACCACGACACAAUGCUGGAUCUGAAAUUGGUUGGAACGAAAUUGAAGGAUAUAUUAAAGGUCUCUAACACAUCACUAAAUGAAAGGAAGAUUAUUGUGGAACUUUGCUGGAUCUGUUGCUUCUUGCGGUGCACGUCUUGCUGCUGCUGGAAUUUUAGGAAUCCUUAAGAAAAUAGGAAGAGAUACAGUUAAGGCUAGUAAACAAAGUGAAGCAGAUAAACCACAAGUUUAGAUGGCAUAAAAUCAGGGCCAGCAGAAAAGACUGAAUCAAUUGUCAAGUUUAAAGAGCGUCUGUCUCAAAUAAGCCAGCCAAGAAACACAUUACUCCUAUUUCAAUUGAACCAUGAUUUUUCAGUGCCGUAGAAAUUCCAUUAACGUACCCCUGUGUACAUCUAUUUUGUGUGGCUAACAUAUAUUUUGUAAUAUAAAUUGAAUUAAAAUAUUUAUCUUCUGUAGAAAAAAAUCUCCAUUUUGGAGAUUUCCUAGUGAACCUUUUGUUCAAGUCCUAGUAUUGUAGUGUUAGUCGGUUAAUUGAGAUAGU